UAUAUAUUUAAAAUGAUUCAUAUAUAACACCAUUGUAACAAACUUUGAUCAGUUUAAAUUAAUAAAAUAUAAAUUUACGUCACUAAUUAAAAAAUUUUUGAAUGUUUAGGUAUUAAAUGAAAUUUUUUGAAAGUUUAGAUGAUUAUCCGCAAAUAGACAGGAAUUUUUAUGGCUAUUUGAUUUGUGAGAAAUAAUCAAUGUGUAAAAUUUAUGAUUUAUGAUUCGUUGAUAUUUUAGAAAUACAUUCUAGAACGCAUCCAAUAUCACGGAUUUUAGAAAAUUAAAAUGAGCGAGACGCUAAUUAUCAGAAGAUAUAAAAUGUCUAUAUUAAUAUGAGAAAAAUUAAAUUAUGUUAACACGUGAAACUCGCAGGGACCACCAUGAAAUAUCAAAAUAGUACGGAGACUAUCCCGUACGUUUGUCACUUUAGCAUAGUCAAAUUUUAUUUCUAAAUGAAAUAAACGAAGCGGGUAGCGUGCUACCUAUCUUUCUCAAAAAUAAAAAGCAUAGUCAAGUCAGUAUGAUAGGCACCCUUCAACGAAUCAAAUUAAUUAAGCACGGCAAAAAGACUCAGGACAACUAAACUUAUAUUUUCUUCCAUUUUAUUUAUGAAAUUUAAAAUGUGCAUAAGAAUUAGAGUCAUCUUACUAAAUUCACGACGUUCAUAAAAUAGAUGGACUUUGUGAUUCAAGUAUCAGAUGAGAUUCACAUUGAGUACCUACCCACUUCUUUUACUAUUGAAAAAGCGGAUCCUUCUUUAGAAAUUCCUGAAGCAUAUUAGCACAGCAUUAUUCAAAGAGUCAAGGGUU
rnacentral:lncRNA from 1 species